UGGGGAAUAUUGGACAAUGGGGGCAACCCUGAUCCAGCCAUGCCGCGUGAGUGAUGAAGGCCCUAGGGUUGUAAAGCUCUUUUGUGCGGGAAGAUAAUGACGGUACCGCAAGAAUAAGCCCCGGCUAACUUCGUGCCAGCAGCCGCGGUAAUACGAAGGGGGCUAGCGUUGCUCGGAAUCACUGGGCGUAAAGGGUGCGUAGGCGGGUUUUUAAGUCAGGGGUGAAAUCCUGGAGCUCAACUCCAGAACUGCCUUUGAUACUGAAGAUCUUGAGUCCGGGAGAGGUGAGUGGAACUGCGAGUGUAGAGGUGAAAUUCGUAGAUAUUCGCAAGAACACCAGUGGCGAAGGCGGCUCACUGGCCCGGUACUGACGCUGAGGCACGAAAGCGUGGGGAGCAAACA
rnacentral:rRNA from 2 species